rnacentral:misc_RNA from 1 species
ACAGUUUAAUUAACUUCCUGCGUGCUUAGGUAUCGAUUUCAAACAGAAACUCAUCAACUUGGAUGGAGUGCCAAUAAAGCUACAAAUUUGGGAUACAGCAGGACAAGAAAGAUUUCGAACGCUAACCACAGCUUAUUAUCGCGGAGCUAUGGGCAUACUACUGAUGUAUGAUGUGACGAACUUGGAGAGUUACAAUAACCUGUCAUAUUGGCUGCGAAAUAUUCAAGAGAACGCGUCACCGGAUGUUGUCAAAGUCUUGGUUGGCAACAAAUGCGAAUGUUCGGCAACGCAGCGAGCGGUUGACAAAGAAAGAGGCGAAAAAAUUGCUGAAAACUUCGAUAUGCCAUUCUUUGAGGUGUCCUGCAAAUGCAACAUAAACAUUGAGGAGGCUUUUCUAGCAUUGGCAAGAAAAAUCCGAGAACAGCGCGAACGCCGGGGUGAUAAUUUUGAUAACGACGAAAAGACACAAGACAAAAAAUCGCCCGGUUCCAACGGCUUAGGUACAUUCAGCUUGGCCAGCUUGUCCGAAGGCAAUCGUUGCUCCUGCUAAGCCGAACGGAAAUAUUCCACAUACUCCUAAGGAACAAUACGUCCAAUAGAGUGCUAUAGUGGAAUACUUCCAUGCAUACAUACAAACAUAUGCGUGUAUAUGUACGCCUAAGUAUACAAGUACAUACCACUGGCCGGGCAAGUGCAUUCAGUGUGAGUGUGGGAACGUUGGUUGGCUGGAUUUUGAAAUCAGGCAGACUCAGACGUACGUAUAGAAAUAAAUCGCUGUUUGAAUCUCAACGCUUCAUAUUUGUAGCAUAUGUACGUACGUACAUAUGUAUAUUGCGAAUUGGGUUACUUUAAACAGUGUUUUUUGAAAUACCAUUAAUUAGGCGCUGGAGUAGUUAGUUACAUCCAUAAAUUAAUUGCCGUUUGGUUGCUAAUUAAUGAAAAUUUACUCUUGAACAUACAUAUGUAAGUACAUAUGAGGCAAUGAGAGUCAGAGGAGCAUAUCUACAUACGAAAAAAUUUGUUUGAGUAAUAUGCGAAGGAAGGAUUUAUAAAUACUAAAUAGCAGGGACGUGAACAGGUUUUAAACCGAACCGGUUUUGAACCGGAAAACCGAUUUUUUCUAUUAAUUAACUGAACCAUUAACCGAACCGAAAUUUUCCACAAAUGUUUGAUCCGAACCGAAACCGAACCAAUUUUCAUAAAGGUUUAAAGGUUAGUUUAAUCCAAUUUUCAUUAGAUAAAUUUACACGCUUUUGUUUCGUUUCGUUAAAUAUGGUAAUACCUACAACGUUUGUUUACCAUGUGGAAAUAUCAAAUGUAAAGGCAACUCAUCUCAUUUAGCACACACUUAAAAUUUAACCUUGCGCUUUGUUGCACUUGACACUUUACACUCAGACUUGCGCGUUAUUUUUUUUCCCCCAACCCUUGAACAGAACCAAAACCCCGGUUCAAAGACUAAAAAAAACGCUUUGUCGAACCAAUGCAAAAGUGCAAAAACGGUUCGAACCGCUAAACCGAACCGACCAAAUUUUUCAUCCGGUUCACGUCCCUGAUAAAUAGGGUCUUUCACUGAAAAGUUCAUUGCAUCUACGUGAUGCUGCCUGUUAGAGUAAAAUAAAACUGAACAGGCGUGUCUCGGGCUAUUAGCGUUUCAUUCUAUUAAUGCAUUUUAAGCUGUACCUCACCUUUUUAAUGUAAGGCUACUUUGGCUCUCAAAGCCUCAUAUGUACAUAUAUAUGUAAGUAAAACAUACACAUUAUGUACAUAUGUACAGUGUUGGACAAAAGAUAUUUGACUGGGAAUCGGAACUUGAUUAAAAUGAGACUUAAAAGAUUUCGAAAAAAUUGUUAAAUAGUUUAAUUAGUUUAUACACGCAACACGGAUUAAAAUUUUUCUUAAAAAUAAUUGAAUUUUAAAAUUUGGAUUUGCUCAUUUUCAGAAAUUGUUGCGCAACACAGCAUUUUAUUGUGGCAACAUUUGGCCAUAUAAGGCUAUCGAAAAUAGAGUUGUUUUGUUGAAUAGUGUGCAUAAAAAUACAUAAACAAUUUUAUAGUACAUAUUUGUUUUCUUACUUACACUGAUUUUUUCGAAUGUUUCAUUUUACUAAAUAUUAUACUAUUUCUAUCAGAAAAAGGACGCAAUCUUGCAUGGCUAUCCAUAAUUUAAAUAACAAAAAAACAUCAAUAUUAAG